AUCUUUUUCCUUCACCUUUUAGGAUCUAGCACUCACUUUAUGUUCUAACAAUAUAUGAAGGAAGGUGAAGAACUUUAAGAACAACAACAACCACACCACGAACAAUAACAACAAUCUUCAAGAACAACAACAAUUCCAAUGGCCAACUCCAAUCCACAACAACAAACGGCAAAGUCUCUUUAGUGUUGUGUCUUUGAUUUUAACAAGAUAUGAAGGUUGUGAAGAACUUCAAGAAUACAACAACAUUCACCAAGAACUACAACAACAACACUCCUUUCAACAAUAAUAACCACACACAUGGCCAAGUCAAGUUUUUCAACAAUAAUGUCUACCACACGGUCUUACUUGGUCAUGACAACGAAAACAAAGCUCAAACUUAGAUAUUGACUCAAGUGUUAGUAAAUAACAAAGCUAACACUAGAAAAACUCAAGACAAACAAAAAUCUCGGCCAAGACACAAGAAGAACGUAAUUCUUGGUCAAGAACACAACACGGGCAGAUUGCAUUCUCACAUGCGUCUAUCUUCGUGGUCGUACUUGUAUCAGGGGUAAAAUAAGUUUUCAUAAGAACAGGUAUGAAAUUCUCCCUUGAUUCUUUGGCACAAAGAUAGUUUAUGCAUCUUGUUGUGUUUUGAAAAAUCAAAAGAUUCAAUAAAUACUAGUAGGAUCCUAUUUCUAAUUGUACGUUAGUGUGGAAAAAAUAUUAGAGUCAUGAUUUCUAAUCAAUGGUAAAAGCAUGUCGUGAUUACACCAUGAUUGGUGAAUGAUUGCUUAGCAAUCUUAGAACAUUGACAAGGCUUCAAGCCAUUACUUUUAUUCGUUAAAGUUAAUGUUGGAAUAGUGUUUCUAUGGGAUUUUGGAUUUUUAUAUUAUUUUAUUUGUAUGAGAUUCUACUUCUAAAUAUGAGUAUUAUUAUAUUAAGCAAAAUUUUUACCAAUUAAGUUUGAAUAGCGAGAUAAAGAUCUUUUUAAAUUUUGGGUUUAAUAUGUGAGAUAGUAAGGUUUAGUUCUAAUAUUAAAAGUUAGGGAUAUUGAGACUUGACCGGAUUCGCUUACUUAAUAUCGUUAAUUAAUAUUUUGGUAUAGAUUGAGGGCUAUUGGAGGUUGUUUGGUUGGUGUUCUACGCGUUGCAAGGUUGAAAAUUUUGUCAUUAGCGAGGUAAGUGAAACUUUAAGCUUUGGUGCUUGCUUUUCAAAUUUAUUUUAAAAAUAUAUUUUUAUCUGUCCAGUCUAUGUGUUGGGACUAGCAUGUGCUUGGCAGAAUCAACGGUCUUUAAGGCCGGCCACAUAUACUUUAUGUUAAGAAUGCUAAUUCUCCUUUUUAUAAAUUAUUUCGUGAUGUGAUAUGAUUGUGUAUUGUGAGAUUGGGAUAUUGUGUAUGCUUCUUAAUUCCUUUAGGGCAUUGUGUAUGCUUCUUAAUUCCUUUGGGCAUUGUGUAUGUUUCUUAAUUCCUUUGGGCAUUGUGUAUGCUUCUUAAUUCCUUUGGGGCAUUGUGUAUGCUUGCCUUGAGGAUUGUGUAUGUUUGUUGAUUUUAUAUGGGGCAUUGUGUAUGUUUCCCUUGAGCAUUGUGUAUGCUUGUUGAUUUGAUAUGGGACAUUGUGUAUGCUCCCCCUAAGUAUUAUGUAUACUCCUGAUAUAUUUAAUGCAUUGUAUAUGUUGCUCGAAACCUCUAGUGUUGGCUAAUUACUUUAAUUGCAAAUUAUGAUAAGUGCUUUGUAUGAAAUUAUGUUGAGAUAUAUGUUUCUUGAUGAAGGUUUGUUGAACCUCGUUGGUUACCUUAUUAUGAUAUAGUUCCGUGUGUAAUAAUUUUAUAUUCUUGGUGUUGUUGUAUUUUCUAAUAUUUGUCCCAGGAGUACUUAAAGCAGCGAGCCGAUGAUCUUACUAAGUUAUAUUUACAUAUAGCUCACUCCUUACUUACAUAUCUAUAGAUACCGUUGCGGAGGGAGAGACCAGUGGCUGAUGGUUCUUACGCGUGAAUUACAGUACUGAGGUGAACCUUCCCAUUGAUCGUGAAGGCUGUCAUUCAGCGUUAGAUCUUUUAGAUUACAUUUCUUUUCGUUGGGUUUGCAUGCCCGAAAGUUGAACUCAUGUAACCCUAUUUAGAUGCUCCAUGAACUUAUAGUGGGACUUGGGUAAGAGAUAUGAUAUCUAAACUACUGUUGUUUUCAUAAAUCUCUAAGCAGUAUCUUGUUGGAUACUUACUCUGCAUUAAUGAUUAUUUCAUGCAUGUGGAGUUGUAUGUGUGUUUUUAGACCAUAUGAAUAUAUGAAAAAUUGAUUCUCCCG
rnacentral:lncRNA from 1 species